UACGAAGGGGGGCUAGCGUUGUUCGGAAUUACUGGGCGUAAAGCGCGCGCAGGCGGCUAUCCAAGUCAGUGGUGAAAGCCCGGAGCUCAACUCCGGAACUGCCAUUGAAACUGUUUAGCUUGAGGACGAGAGAGGUGAGUGGAAUUCCCAGUGUAGAGGUGAAAUUCGUAGAUAUUGGGAAGAACACCGGUGGCGAAGGCGGCUCACUGGCUCGUUUCUGACGCUCAGGCGCGACAGCGUGGGGAUCAAACAGG
rnacentral:rRNA from 1 species